CUUGAUCAAGCAUUUGAAACAUGCAUAAUGGAUGAUAGUGAAACAAAUGAAAAUAGGGUUAGAUGCACACAUAAUGAAUGAUAGCCAAAAUUAAGGUUUAGCUUGGUUAUACAACCUCGAGUUGCUAGGAAACCCUAGCUUUCACUAGGUACACACAACUAUGCUUUGAACCUAAGAUUAAUGUCCUCUUGUCUUGAACAAUGCUAAUGCAAGUGAGAUGAUUGAUCAUGAAGAUAUGCAUAUG
rnacentral:lncRNA from 1 species